CCUACGGGAGGCAGCAGUGAGGAAUAUUGGUCAAUGGGCGAGAGCCUGAACCAGCCAAGUCGCGUGAGGGAGUACUGCCCUAUGGGUUGUAAACCUCUUUUGUCGGGGAGCAAAAGCCGGACGUGUCCGGCUGUGCGAGUACCCGAAGAAAAAGCAUCGGCUGAAUCCGUGCCAGCCGGCGCGGUACUACGGAGGAUGCGAGCGUUAUCCGGAUUUGUUGGGUUUAAAGGGUGCGCAGGCGGAUUGUUAAGUCAGCGGUCAAAUCGUGGGGCUCAACCCCAUCCAGCCGUUGAAACUGGGGAUCUAGAGUGUGCGAGAGGUAUGCGGAAUGCGUGGUGUAGCGGUGAAAUGCAUAGAGAUCACGCAGAACCCCGAUUGCGAAGGCAGCAUACCGGUGCACAACUGACGCUCAGGCACGAAAGCGUGGGUAUCGAACAGGAUUAGAUACCCUGGUAGUC
rnacentral:rRNA from 1 species